rnacentral:rRNA from 1 species
GACGAACGCUGGCGGCGUGCCUAAUACAUGCAAGUUGAGCGCUGAAGGUUGGUACUUGUACCAACUGGGUGAGCAGCGGACGGGUGAGCAACGCGUGGGGAAUCUGCCUUUGAGAGGGGGACAACAUUUGGAAACGAAUGCUAAUACCGCAUAAAAAAUUUAAACACAAGUUUUAAGUUUGAAAGAUGCAAUUGCAUCACUCAAAGAUGAUCCCGCGUUGUAUUAGCUAGUUGGUGAGGUAAAGGCUCACCAAGGCGAUGAUACAUAACCGACCUGAGAGGGUGAUCGGCCACAUUUGGACUUAGACACGGCCCAAACUCCUACGGGAAGCAGCAGUAGGGAAUCUUCGGCAAUGGACGAAAGUCUGACCGAGCAACGCCGCGUGAGUGAAGAAGGUUUUCGGAUCCUAAAACUCUGGUUGUAGAGAAGAACGUUAGUGGGAAUGGAAAGCUCACCAAGUGACGGUACCUACCCAGAAAGGCACGGCUAACUACGUG